UACGUAGGUGGCAAGCGUUGUCCGGAAUUACUGGGUGUAAAGCGCGUGUAGGCGGCAGGCCAAGUCUGUGGUGAAAGCGCCCGGCUCAACUGGGCGAGGUCCGUGGAAACUGGUCAGCUGGAGGACGGUAGAGGCGAGUGGAAUUCCCGGUGUAGUGGUGAAAUGCGUAGAGAUCGGGAGGAACACCUGUGGCGAAGGCGGCUCGCUGGGCCGGUCCUGACGCUGAGACGCGAAGGCGUGGGGAGCGAACGGG
rnacentral:rRNA from 1 species